AUUGAACGCUGGCGGAAUGCUUUACACAUGCAAGUCGAACGGCAGCACGGGGCAACCUGGUGGCGAGUGGCGAACGGGUGAGUAAUACAUCGGAACGUGCCCAAUCGUGGGGAUAACGUAGCGAAAGUUACGCUAAUACCGCAUACGAUCUACGGAUGAAAGCGGGGGAUCGCAAGACCUCGCGCGAAUGGAGCGGCCGAUGUCAGAUUAGGUAGUUGGUGGGGUAAAGGCUCACCAAGCCGACGAUCUGUAGCUGGUCUGAGAGGACGACCAGCCACACUGGACUGAGACACGGCCCAGACUCCUACGGGAGGCAGCAGUGGGAAUUUUGGACAAUGGGCGCAAGCCUGAUCCAGCCA
rnacentral:rRNA from 1 species